GUAUACGAACCGGCGUCCCCCGCAUUUUGCGCUUGGGAUUUUACGGUUCGGUUUGAAAUCGACAAUCAAAGGAGAAAGAAAGUGGCACGUAUUGCUGGUGUCAACGUUCCCGAU
rfam:Micavibrio aeruginosavorus ARL-13, complete genome.